rnacentral:rRNA from 1 species
UACGAAGGGGGCUAGCGUUGUUCGGAAUCACUGGGCGUAAAGCGCAUGCAGGCGGAUUGUUAAGUCGGGGGUGAAAUCCCGAGGCUCAACCUCGGAACUGCCUUCGAUACUGGCAAUCUUGAGUCCGGGAGAGGUGAGUGGGACUGCGAGUGUAGAGGUGAAAUUCGUAGAUAUUCGCAAGAACACCAGUGGCGAAGGCGGCUCACUGGCCCGGUACUGACGCUGAGGUGCGAAAGCGUGGGGAGCAAACAGG